rnacentral:rRNA from 1 species
UACGGGGGGGGCAAGCGUUGUUCGGAAUUACUGGGCGUAAAGGGCUCGUAGGUGGCCAACUAAGUCAGACGUGAAAUCCCUCGGCUUAACCGGGGAACUGCGUCUGAUACUGGAUGGCUUGAGUUCGGGAGAGGGAUGCGGAAUUCCAGGUGUAGCGGUGAAAUGCGUAGAUAUCUGGAGGAACACCGGUGGCGAAGGCGGCAUCCUGGACCGGCACUGACACUGAGGAGCGAAAGCCAGGGGAGCAAACAGG